rnacentral:tRNA from 1 species
GAUCUGUUAGCUCAGUUGGUUUAGAGCGCUUGCUUGACAGGCAAGAGGUCAACAGUUCAAAUCUGUUACAGAUCA